rnacentral:rRNA from 1 species
GACGAACGCUGGCGGCGUGCUUAACACAUGCAAGUCGAACGAAGAGCGAUGGAAGCUUGCUUCUAUCAAUCUUAGUGGCGAACGGGUGAGUAACGCGUAAUCAACCUGCCCUUCAGAGGGGGACAACAGUUGGAAACGACUGCUAAUACCGCAUACGAUCUAAUCUCGGCAUCGAGGAUAGAUGAAAGGUGGCCUCUACAUGUAAGCUAUCACUGAAGGAGGGGAUUGCGUCUGAUUAGCUAGUUGGAGGGGGAACGGCCCACCAAGGCGAUGAUCAGUAGCCGGUCUGAGAGGAUGAACGGCCACAUUGGGACUGAGACACGGCCCAGACUCCUACGGGAGGCAGCAGUGGGGAAUCUUCCGCAAUGGACGAAAGUCUGACGGAGCAACGCCGCGUGAGUGAUGACGGCCUUCGGGUUGUAAAGCUCUGUUAAUCGGGACGAAAGGCCUUCUUGCGAAUAGUGAGAAGGAUUGACGGUACCGGAAGAGAAAGCCACGGCUAACUACGUG